GAUGAACGCUGGCGGCGUGCCUAAUACAUGCAAGUCGAGCGGUAAGGCUUUCACUCUGUAUUUAAUGAGUUGAAUAUAGUGUGAAAGUACACGAGCGGCGGACGGCUGAGUAACGCGUAGGAACGUACCCCAAAGUGAGGGAUAAGCACCGGAAACGGUGUCUAAUACCGCAUGUGAUCUUCGGAUUAAAGCUUUAUGCGCUUUGGGAGCGGCCUGCGUAAGAUUAGUUUGUUGGUGAGGUAAUGGCUCACCAAGACUACGAUCUUUAGCUGGUCUGAGAGGAUGAUCAGCCAGACUGGGACUGAGACACGGCCCAGACUCCUACGGGAGGCAGCAGUAGGGAAUUUUCCACAAUGGACGAAAGUCUGAUGGAGCAACGCCGCGUGCAGGAUGAAGGCCUUCGGGUUGUAAACUGCUUUAUCUGUGACGAUUAUGACGGUAGCAGAUGAAUAAGGAUCGGCUAACUCCGUGCCAGCAGCCGCGGUAA
rnacentral:rRNA from 1 species